rnacentral:lncRNA from 1 species
GAUCUGGUGUACCCUCGGGAUGCUGUCUCUGAAACCCUGUGUCCUGUGAAUUCCUCUCCCCAGACACCCCCUUCCAGUUCCUGGUGCUCCCCUACCGUGCUGCAAGCACCCCCAUGGCAGAUUUUCAGCCUUCAGUCGGUCUCUUAGGCCAGACCCUGCGUUAUACUAAACCCGAGACUUCUGACUCUAAACUCAUAGUACUGGAAUCUGUUUCAGCCAAGUCACUGGCUGCAAGAAGUAUUCUAUAUUUACUGAAAAUUACUUAGAAAACAAUGACAAAUAUUUUAAAAAUGUAAAGAGGC